UACGAAGGGGGCUAGCGUUGUUCGGAAUCACUGGGCGUAAAGCGCACGUAGGCGGAUCGAUCAGUCAGGGGUGAAAUCCCAGAGCUCAACUCUGGAACUGCCUUUGAUACUGUCGAUCUGGAGUAUGGAAGAGGUGAGUGGAAUUCCGAGUGUAGAGGUGAAAUUCGUAGAUAUUCGCAAGAACACCAGUGGCGAAGGCGGCUCACUGGCCCGGUACUGACGCUGAGGUGCGAAAGCGUGGGGAGCGAACAGG
rnacentral:rRNA from 1 species